rnacentral:tRNA from 1 species
CCUUCACCUCGUAGAGGGCGAUCCGCUCUGCGGCCGCCUGCUGGGUGGCCUGCCACUGUGCCUGUUCGAAGCGGGCGCGGGCGCC